UUGCAGCUUUUGGCCUACCGAAACCUUCCGAACGUUUUUUCAAUCGGAACAUCUGUCUACCUCUCUGCGCAUGCGCAAAGUUUACCUGCUUCCUUUGUAACAUAAACAAAAAGAUAUUUUUCUCUCCAGCACGAAUAUCAGCGGAAAAAAAGACUAUUGUCAACUACUGUGUGAAUCUACCAAUAUGUCCAACAAAGUCUCUGGUAUAAGUGCAGACACCUUAGAUUUCAUCAACAAUCAAGAAGCAUAUCAUCAUCACAAUGUGUAAAUGGGAUAAUAAACCACACAGGUGAAAAAGGACAUUGUCCCAAUUGUUUUUCUUUGCCUAAAGUGUAUUGAAGAGAACAUGAGUGGUGUGUUGUUCUGACUGUCUUCAGUUGCUGCAUCUGCAAAUAUGACUCUAGAUUCAGAGAAAAUAAAGCUUUAUUUUGGAAUGGCAUCUGAUAUAACCUGUGUUAAUUUUUAAAAUGAAAGUAAUAAAAGUACUGUAAAAAAUCA